UACGAAGGGGGCUAGCGUUGUUUCGGAAUUACUGGGCGUAAAGCGCGCGUAGGCGGCUUUGCAAGUCGAUUGUGAAAUCCCCAGGCUUAACCUGGGAACUGCAUUCGAGACUGCAUAGCUAGAGUAUGGGAGAGGGAAGUGGAAUUUCAGGUGUAGCGGUGAAAUGCGUAGAUAUCUGAAGGAACAUCAGUGGCGAAAGCGACUUCCUGGACCAAUACUGACGCUCAUGUGCGAAAGCGUGGGGAGCAAACAGG
rnacentral:rRNA from 1 species